UACGGAGGGUGCGAGCGUUGUCCGGAAUCAUUGGGCGUAAAGGGCGCGUAGGUGGCGGCUUAAGCGUGCGGUGAAAGCUCGGGGCUCAACCCCGGAGCCGGCGUGCAACUGAGUCGCUUGAGCACUGUAGAGGCAGGCGGAAUUCCGGGUGUAGCGGUGGAAUGCGUAGAGAUCCGGAAGAACACCGGUGGCGAAGGCGGCCUGCUGGGCAGUAGCUGACACUGAGGCGCGACAGCGUGGGGAGCAAACAGG
rnacentral:rRNA from 1 species